CGACGCUGGCGGCGUGCCUAAUACAUGCAAGUCGAACGAUGAAGCUUCUAGCUUGCUAGAAUGCUGAUUAGUGGCGCACGGGUGAGUAACGCAUAGGUCAUGUGCCUCUUAGUUUGGGAUAGCCAUUGGAAACGAUGAUUAAUACCAGAUACUCCCUACGGGGGAAAGAUUUAUCGCUAAGAGAUCAGCCUAUGUCCUAUCAGCUUGUUGGUAAGGUAAUGGCUUACCAAGGCUAUGACGGGUAUCCGGCCUGAGAGGGUGAACGGACACACUGGAACUGAGACACGGUCCAGACUCCUACGGGAGGCAGCAGUAGGGAAUAUUGCUCAAUGGGGGAAACCCUGAAGCAGCAACGCCGCGUGGAGGAUGAAGGUUUUAGGAUUGUAAACUCCUUUUGUUAGAGAAGAUAAUGACGGUAUCUAACGAAUAAGCACCGGCUAACUCCGUGCCAGCAGCCGCGGUAAUACGGAGGGUGCAAGCGUUACUCGGAAUCACUGGGCGUAAAGAGCGCGUAGGCGGGAUAGUCAGUCAGGUGUGAAAUCCUAUGGCUUAACCAUAGAACUGCAUUUGAAACUACUAUUCUAGAGUGUGGGAGAGGUAGGUGGAAUUCUUGGUGUAGGGGUAAAAUCCGUAGAGAUCAAGAGGAAUACUCAUUGCGAAGGCGACCUGCUAGAACAUUACUGACGCUGAUUGCGCGAAAGCGUGGGGAGCAACCAGGAUUAGAUACCCUGGUAGUCCACGCCCUAAACGAUGGAUGCUAGUUGUUGGAGGGCUUAGUCUCUCCAGUAAUGCAGCUAACGCAUUAAGCAUCCCGCCUGGGGAGUACGGUCGCAAGAUUAAAACUCAAAGGAAUAGACGGGGACCCGCACAAGCGGUGGAGCAUGUGGUUUAAUUCGAGGCUACACGAAGAACCUUACCUAGGCUUGACAUUGAGAGAAUCCGCUAGAAAUAGUGGAGUGUCUGGCUUGCCAGACCUUGAAAACAGGUGCUGCACGGCUGUCGUCAGCUCGUGUCGUGAGAUGUUGGGUUAAGUCCCGCAACGAGCGCAACCCCCUUUCUUAGUUGCUAACAGGUUAUGCUGAGAACUCUAAGGAUACUGCCUCCGUAAGGAGGAGGAAGGUGGGGACGACGUCAAGUCAUCAUGGCCCUUACGCCUAGGGCUACACACGUGCUACAAUGGGGUGCACAAAGAGAAGCAAUACUGCGAAGUGGAGCCAAUCUUCAAAACACCUCUCAGUUCGGAUUGUAGGCUGCAACUCGCCUGCAUGAAGCUGGAAUCGCUAGUAAUCGCAAAUCAGCCAUGUUGCGGUGAAUACGUUCCCGGGUCUUGUACUCACCGCCCGUCACACCAUGGGAGUUGUGUUUGCCUUAAGUCAGGAUGCUAA
rnacentral:rRNA from 1 species